CUUUGGUGGUGGUGGUGGUGGGUCCGGUGUUUUUGGUGGUGGUGGUGGUAGUCCUUAAAUGCCAAGGGUCUUUGACAUAGUCACAGCAGUCGCACGCUUCGUAAAAGAUCAGAUAUUCAGGACAAUACAUCAGAGAGCCAUGACCCCAGUCACAGUUAAAAAAGCUGUGUGGGUCAUCUGGGUUGGCAUAACGGUCAUGUUAGUAAUGAUGCUUGCCGACGUGGUCACAGCAGUCGCACGAUUCGUAAAAGACCAGAUCUGAAGGACAAUACAUCAGAGCGCCAUGACUCCAG
ensembl:lncRNA